AUGGGAAGAAACGCUUGGUCACACAUAGACUUUGCCAAGUUUAUCAGAGAUUUAUGCCACAUGUUACUUUACGAAUGGUUAUCCGCGCAAACCUUGAUUCGAGAUUCCUGCAAAACAGCUGCAGCAAAAGACCCUAAUCUCAAGUAUGAUUUUUGCGUCCAAUCACUAGUCUAUCAGGAUUGGUCCUAGCACCAACGAAUAACGCUGCGUCCAAAACAAUUAACGUGAAAGGGAUAGUUGAGACUAUUCUCAAAAGCAAAAAGUAUGCAUCGAGUACUGAACCCGCGUUACGCACUUGCGUAAAGCUUUAUGACAAUGCAUAUGGUUCUUUAAAAGAAGCUUUGAUGAACGUUAAAUCUAGUAAUUACAAAAGUGCUAAUAUGCAUCUGAGUGCUGCUUUGGAUGAACCUGGCAUUUGUCAAAAUGGUUUCAAAGAGAAGCACGCGAAAUCUCCUGUUACAAACGAGAACAAUGUUUCGUUUCAGAAGAUUUUGAUUCCUUUAGCUUUUACCAAUAUGCUCUGAUGAAAUUACCAUAAGUUCUUGCAUUAUGUAAUGUGGAUUUUCGUUUACCUAAUAAUAAAUUUAAGAGCAAAGGAAAAUUAUUCCAUUGGAAA